AAUGAACGUUGGCGGCGUGGAUUAGGCAUGCAAGUCGUGCGAGAAGCUUUCCUUCGGGGAAGCGGAAAGCGGCGAAAGGGAGAGUAACGCGUGGAUUAUCUGCCUCCGGGUCUGGGAUAGCCGCGGGAAACUGCGGGUAAUACCGGAUAACGUCUGCGGACCAAAGGUGUGAUUCCGCCUGGAGAUGAGUCCGCGUCCUAUUAGCUUGUUGGUAAGGUAAUGGCUUACCAAGGCGACGAUGGGUAGCGGGUGUGAGAGCAUGGCCCGUCUCACUGGGACUGAGACACUGCCCAGACACCUACGGGUGCUGCAGUCGAGAAUCUUCGGCAAUGGGCGCAAGCCUGACCGAGCGACGCCGCGUGCGGGAUGAAGGCCUUCGGGUGUAAACCGCUGUCAGAGGGAAGAAAUGCAUGAGGGCACUCUCUCAUGUUUGACUGAUCCUCAGAGGAAUCCGGGCUAAGUUCGUGCCAGCCGCCGCGGUAA
rnacentral:rRNA from 1 species